rnacentral:tRNA from 1 species
GGGGCAGUGGCCGAGUGGCUUAAGGCGGGAGUCUUGAAAACUCUUGACGGGCAACCGUCCGUGGGUUCAAAUCCUACCUGCCCCGCCA